AGUCGCCACGGGAAUACGAAGGGGGCUAGCGUUGCUCGGAAUCACUGGGCGUAAAGGGUGCGUAGGCGGGUCUUUAAGUCAGGGGUGAAAUCCUGGAGCUCAACUCCAGAACUGCCUUUGAUACUGAAGAUCUUGAGUUCGGGAGAGGUGAGUGGAACUGCGAGUGUAGAGGUGAAAUUCGUAGAUAUUCGCGAGAACGCCAGUGGCGAAGGCGGCUCACUGGCCCGAUACUGACGCUGAGGCACGAAAGCGUGGGGAGCAAACAGGAUUAGAUACCCGGGUAGUCCCUGUCUCUUAUACA
rnacentral:rRNA from 1 species